rnacentral:rRNA from 1 species
UUACACACCGCCCGUCACACCAUGGGAGUGGGUUCCACCAGAAGUAGUUAGCCUAACCGCAAGGAGGGCGACCGUAACCCGACCGGGUUCGGAACGGAAGUUCAUGACUGGGGUG